rnacentral:rRNA from 1 species
GUAGGUGGCAAGCGUUGUCCGGAAUUAUUGGGCGUAAAGCGCGCGCAGGUGGUUCUUUAAGUCUGAUGUGAAAGCCCCCGGGCUCAACCGGGGAGGGUCAUUGGAAACUGGGGAACUUGAGUGCAGGAGAGGAAAGUGGAAUUCCACGUGUAGCGGUGAAAUGCGUAGAUAUGUGGAGGAACACCAGUGUCGAAGGCGACUUUCUGGCCUGUAACUGACACUGAGGCGCGAAAGCGUGGGGAGCAAACAGGAUUAGAUACCCUGGUAGUCCACGCCGUAAACGAUGAGUGCUAAGUGUUGGGGGGUUUCCGCCCCUCAGUGCUGCAGCUAACGCAUUAAGCACUCCGCCUGGGGAGUACGGUCGCAAAGACUG